rnacentral:rRNA from 1 species
UACAGAGGUCCCAAGCGUUGUUCGGAUUCACUGGGCGUAAAGGGUGCGUAGGUGGUUAGGUAAGUCCGAUGUGAAAUCUCCAGGCUCACCUGGAAAUGGCAUUGGAUACUAUUUAGCUUGAGGAAUGCAGAGGUUAGUGGAAUUCCUGGUGUAGCGGUGAAAUGCGUUGAUAUCAGGAGGAACACCCAUGGCGAAGGCAGCUAACUGGGCAUUAUCUGACGCUGAGGCGCGAAAGCGUGGGUAGCAAACAGG